rnacentral:rRNA from 1 species
UCGGGAAAAUUUUGCAAUACGCGAAAGCGUGACAGAGCAAGCCAAAGUGCUGUUCUUUUUUUGAACAGCUUUUGUGAGAUGUAAAAAGUCUCACGAAUAAGGACUGGGCAAGACUGGUGCCAGCCGCCGCGGUAAUCCCAGCAGUCCAAGUCGCAGCCACAUUUGUUGGGUCUAAAACAUCCGUAGCUCGCUUAGUAAGUCUUUGGUGAAAUCGGGGCUCUUAAGGUUCCGGCGUGCCUCAGAUACUGCUAAGCUAGAGACCGGGAGGCGUAAGAAGUACUUACAGGGAAGCGGUUAAAUGCGUUGAUCCUGUAUGGACUCACAGUCGCGAAGGCGUCUUACGAGAACGGUUCUGACAGUGAGGGAUGAAGGCUAGGGGCGCAAAGUGG